AGAGUCAACUUUCCCUGGCUCCCACCAUCGUAUAUAUAAGGCCCGUCGUCGUGGCGUGACUGAGCGCAAGAACUCACUCAACUGUGAUACGCCCACAGGGGAUGGUGAUAUGCCUGUUGCCUUGGAGACAGACAUAAAUCAAUCAAUAGAAGCUGAAGGAAGGUUUGCAGCAUUUCAUCAGUGUGGUGGAAAGUGAUAAGCAUUCAAACCAGGAGCACAAACUACACAUGGAGCCAUAUACUGAAGACAAAUGUCUAGAUUCACUUUAAAAAAAUAAUUCGUCAUAAAAUCCAUUUGGGUUUAUAGAUGUAAUGAAUUUUCAAUAUUAAGUCCCUUUCAUCUAGAGCCUGUUGUACAGGUAGUUCCAAGUCAUUUCCAAGAAAAAAAAAUGAAUUUGACCUGUGCUCUCGUCUUCAUUUUGCAAGUUAAAACAGCAAACUGCAUGUUAAACAAUAGACUGGAAUGCUUUUGUUUAUGCCUUGCUUACUUCACUAAAUGCAAUGCAAAUUACAAAACAAAAUAAUAAUAAAUGGUGGGAUCUUAGAUUGUAAGGAGUUAUUGUGUCCUCCAUGACAUGCCAAGAAUGGAUGUGUUAAUCAUCGCAAAUUCCUCAAUUAAACCUCAAAUGCCCCCUCUCACUCUUUGUUAUUACCAAGUGAAUUGAAUUAUCUUGUUAUCUCUCAUUCAAAUGUUUGUUCAUUAUAACAACAAGAACUCGUAUCAAAAGGGAAAAUAGUGCUAUAGAGAUAAUGUGAAUCAUCAUUAUCAUUUACACAUAAAAAUAAACAUUUAUGAUAUCAAUGUCAUAAAAAUACCAAGAUUGCAGUUUCAGAUUUAUUUUAUUGUUCCAUAUUAUAAACGUAGAAAUUAGUACUCCACUGGCAGUACAUACACAAUAAUAUAGUUUAUAAAUAAACACUAAAGAUACAAAUAAUUUGGGUGAAUAUUCAAACGUUGAAAGAAAUAUGAAUAAACAUGUAUUGAAAAAUGAAUUACCCAUUAAAGACAGCAGACAGAAAGUGAAA